CUUCUCUAACACCAGCAGAAAAAUCACAUUAUUUUUAUUAUGUAAGCCUUAUACGAUUUUGAAACUGCAACAACUAUUAUGUCUCUUGUAGGAAAAUGAAAUCUAAAUAUAUUUCUCUUACUGAAUUUCCCUGGAAACAGUUAAACACGAAGGCAUUGAUUUGCUUAUAGUCUAACUUCAUCAUACCAAAAUGUAUCCGCUUACAAGUUUGCAAAUAUGUCACUGAAGAUACUGUAGAAUAUAUCUGAAAUGUGAACUCCCCUCUUUAGAAACUCCACAGCUGUUCAAGCGAAUGAAUUCUGCAAUGAGAGGUUUUUGAGAAAAAGGCAGAACUACAACCCAAGCUGCUGCAGACUCCCUUUCUUUGCACCUAUACAUGAGGCCUCAGCCUGGAUGACGCCAUGUGGGCUAGGGGAGCAUGCUCAUUAUGUUGAAAAUCCUUCUCAAAGCAGAGCAUCUUUAUGGGGUGUCUUCUGAUAUUUCAACAGUCAACUGUUACCCUUGCAUCUGUGAUGGUGAAAAUGUCAACAUGGUACAUGGUAUGAUUAAUAAUGUAGUGAAGAGUAAAUCGCUCAGAAGCAUGAACCAAAGCCCUUAACAGGUGGAAUGAUCGUCUGGACGGAUCUGCCUCAUGUGAACCUUUCUGAAGGGCAGGAUCUAGUCAAAGCAACCUAGAUCUUAUGCCAGGUGGCAAUCUUGAAAUAUUCUGAUGGCUGAUUUUGUUCUGAAGCACUGCAUUUGGCAAAACGGAGUAAUUUGGGUGAAAAGAAUUUCAUAAAAGAUAUGAAUUCUGACGACAAACAUAGCAAUUUUCUAAUUAAUUGCUCUGUCCUAAACUGACCUAUAAAGAAUAGCAAAGGUGCUUAUUUCCAUUCUAAAGAUCACACACCAAAAUGAUAAUUGGUACAGAAACCAAUUAUUUUCACAUAUUAAUCAGGCCAAAAGAGGAAGUAAUGAUGUUAAAACACAUUUGUCACAAUAUCUUGAAUCCAACUAUGCGAGGAAUGAUUGCUCAAUAACUGGCUUGCAGAUUUCCAGAAGCUACAAUUCUGUGAUCACAUUAGCAUGUGCCAUGUUUCAUCAGUACCAUUUUUUGUAACAUACAUUUUAUGUUCCCUGGCCUUGAGAAAAUCUUGAAAUCUGUUUAAUUAGAGAUUCCACAAAGAAAACUACAAGAAGAUAUCAAUCUACUGUUACAAAUAUAAAUUCUGGGCCUCUAAACAAAUUUCACUAGAAAACUUUUCACUGUGCUUCCUCAAUCCUCACUCUGCACUGACACCAUUACGGAUGUAUAAGUUUUUCACACAGCUUUCUUAGUUUAGACAAUGAAUGGAAAAUCUCCUUAAGUAGAUACGCCAUGAAGAAUCACUCUAAUGCUCUCACUGAAAACAGAGGGGGAGCAGCAACCAUUGUGCGUAAAGAUCAUUCCUUCUGCAGGGAUUUACCAGCAGUGCCUUAUUCCUUGCUCUGUAAAUUGUGGCCUAAGGAGGUAGUGGACCAAUUUGAUAGGAAGCUCUGGCCUUCUACAGUGGAAAGAUUACACCCACUCUUUCGAAGUUAGAAAGGGCCAAUGCAACAAUAGAUGAUGCUAGGAGGGCUAAUAAAUGAUGAGGGACAGCGGCAGCACCAAGCACGGAGAUCAAAACAGAAGUAUUUCUUGGUCUCCUUUGUGGCAGAAACUUUAGCUGCUCAGAUAGCCUCCUGUGGCCACCUUGUAAGUGGGAAAGUGACAAUAUGUGUGAAUUGAAAUAUCUGCAGGACAUGGCAGAGUGAGGGAGUCAAAGGAGCAUUAAUCUGAAGGCCCUGGUAUAUACAGAUGAGCAUCUUCACUGGGAGAAACAUUGGACAGUUUACCCUCAGAUUGACCAGGGAAGCUGAUAUCCUAGCUACAGUGGGACCUGAGGCUUAUCCCGCUCUCCACCAUUAGAACGCACUCCAUCAACCCCAGAUCGCAGUCUGCACUAACAGCCCCUUCACCUUUUGGGGCGUAACAUAGGACUGAACUGGUCUCACCCUCAGUCCGUUAAGGUACACUUAGCUACAUGGGCUCCCAAAGCAUUUAAAAGGGAAAACAUUUGAUCAUUGGAGGGGAAUAGACUGGAUUUCUGGACUUCAUGUUAUGACCAAGCAAUGUCGUCACAGCAAUACACUCUGAGGAUUGAAUGAGCAAUCUUAUUUUCAUCCCACUUUUAGGGGUGCUCUUCUCCAGCGACCAACACUCUACUCUGACCCAGGGACUAAAUCUGGUCUGCUACCUAUUGCUGUGUGACCUGUGAGCUAAGAAUACUUUUAAUAUUUUUAAACAGUUAAAUUUAAGUAGUUAUACCUACAACCACUUGUAGGUAUGGUUUUACCUACAUAAUAUCCUAAGAAUUUGUCUCCUUCCCUCCAAGCUUAGAAUAUUUUCUACCUUGCCCUUUAAAGAAGAAGCUUACCAAUUCCUGCCCUAGUUACACGAAGUAAGAGCUGUUUCUACUAGAAGAACCCUUUAGUCAGUUGCUUAAAUCUAGAUGAUUGCAGCUGUCUGCCUAUUAAAAUAUUUAUUAAAUAUGUUAUAAAAUAGGUCAUUACAUAGAUGGUAUUGGAGCACACAGCUCCUUGACUUCAAAGAAAUUAGAUAAUUUGUAUAUAUUGAGUUGUGUAAUGGUAAUCAUAUCUUGAAUGACUCUAGAAAAUACCAAUUUGUAUCUUCCAUGUAGUAAAAAUAAGAACCCAAUGACUAUCUGGGUAAAAUAGCUAAUAUUCCAAUACUAAAGAGGAAGGUUUUCAUUUUCAUUGUAAGCUUAGCAUUUCCCAACAAUUAUAAACAGAUCAUUACUAUUCCAUGAGUUAAGUUAACAUAUUGAGUAAUAUUUGUGAAAUUUUAGUAUAAAAACUCAAAUAGGUUUUUCCCACAGGACUACUUAGAGACUUCACAGUGCAGCCAUAUUCUGUGUUAGCUUCCUUUUCAUAACACUAGAUCAUUUAGGUUUAUGGGCCUAUUCUACAUUCUCAGUUCUCAAGGCUCAAAUAAGCCCUGCAGCCUCUCAAUGACAGGAAUGGAACAUGGCAUCCGGGAUCCAGCCAAAGAGGAGAUGACAAUAUUGAUUCAUGCUCAAGAAAAGCUAGGCCUGGAAAUUUUUAUUGAGUGGCUGGGAAAAGGUAAUUUUUAAAAAUAUCUCUGUUCAAUGGCCCUGUCAUCACUUCUGUAGAGAACUUGGCAUUCCUUUUUUUCAAAUAAAACUCUAUUUAGAGUGAUUUUAUAUAAAGUUUGUAUUUACAAGUUUGUAUUUAUAUAUUAUUUUAUUGAAGUAAAAAAUCAUCCUUGAACAAUAUUGUAUCUGUGAGUAACUAAAGU
ensembl:lncRNA